rnacentral:rRNA from 1 species
GCUCUUCGGAACUUGACUUAGUGGCGAACGGGUGAGUAACGCGUGAGGAACCUGCCUUUCAGUGGGGGACAACAGUUGGAAACGACUGCUAAUACCGCAUGACACUUUUGGGAGACAUCUCCUGGAAGUCAAAGCUUUAUGUGCUGAAAGAUGGCCUCGCGUCUGAUUAGCUAGUUGGUGAGGUAACGGCUCACCAAGGCGACGAUCAGUAGCCGGUCUGAGAGGAUGAACGGCCACAUUGGGACUGAGAUACGGCCCAGACUCCUACGGGAGGCAGCAGUGGGGAAUAUUGGGCAAUGGGGGAAACCCUGACCCAGCAACGCCGCGUGAAGGAAGAAGGCCUUCGGGUUGUAAACUUCUUUUACCAGGGACGAAGGACGUGACGGUACCUGGAGAAAAAGCAACGGCUAACUACGUGCCAGCAGCCGCGGUAAUACGUAGGUUGCAAGCGUUGUCCGGAUUUACUGGGUGUAAAGGGCGCGUAGGCGGAGAUGCAAGUUGGGAGUGAAAUCCAUGGGCUCAACCCAUGAACUGCUCUCAAAACUGUAUCCCUUGAGUAUCGGAGAGGCAAGCGGAAUUCCUAGUGUAGCGGUGAAAUGCGUAGAUAUUAGGAGGAACACCAGUGGCGAAGGCGGCUUGCUGGACGACAACUGACGCUGAGGCGCGAAAGCGUGGGGAGCAAACAGGAUUAGAUACCCUGGUAGUCCACGCUGUAAACGAUGAAUACUAGGUGUGGGAGGACUGACCCCUUCCGUGCCGCAGUUAACACAAUAAGUAUUC